rnacentral:rRNA from 1 species
CGGUACAACGAGUCGCAAGACCGCGAGGUUUAGCAAAUCUCUUAAAGCCGUUCUCAGUUCGGAUUGUAGGCUGCAACUCGCCUACAUGAAGUCGGAAUCGCUAGUAAUCGCGGAUCAGCAUGCCGCGGUGAGUACGUUCCCGGGCCUUGUACACACCGCCCGUCACACCAUGAGAGUUUGUAACACCCAAAGCCGGUGGGGUAACCUUUUGGAGCCAGCCGUCUAAGGUGGGACAGAUGAUUAGGGUGAAGUCGUAACAAGGUAAC